AAUUUCUUAUUAGUUUAUAUGUUUAAGUUAUUUUAUUUUUAAAAUAUUAAUUAUUUUUAGUAUUGUUAAUGGAAAAAAUUUGUUUAAUGAUAGUUUAUUAGUACAGUGAUGGAAAGAUUAAAAGUUUAAAUUUUAAAUUGUUUUAAGAAUAAUUAAUUUUUAGUACCUUGUGUAUCAGGGUUUAUUUAUUAAAUUUUAUGUAUUUAAUUUUCUCGAAUUUAAAAGAGUUAAAAGGUUAUUGAUUUUAUUGUAGAAUAAAUAUUUAUAAUAAUUUUUUAGUAAUGAAACGUUAUUCGUUUUUAAAUAUAUCUGGUUUUUUAAGAAAUGAAUUUAAUUCAUUAAUUAAUUUUUUACUUUAUAAUUUUAUAUUUGGUAUUAUGUUAAUUUAAAAUAUUUUUGGGGAUAAGCUUGAAAAUAAAUUUUUAUAAGUUAGUAAUUUAUUUUAAAGAUAAAUAUAAUUAGAAAUUUUAAAUUUUUAUAGUAUGUUAUUAUUAGUCUUUAUAUAUUUUAUGAUUUUUAUUAAUUUUAAAUUUUUUAUUAAAAAUUUUAACUUAAUUUUUAGGUUUAAAUAAUUAUGAUAAAAUUAGUAUUAUUUAUUGUUUAUUUAAUUUAUUAAUUGAAGGUUAAUUUAAGGAAUUCGGCAAUAAUUUUUUUCACCUGUUUAUUAAAAACAUGGCUUUUUGUUUAUGAUUUAAAGUCUAGCCUGCCCAAUGAAUAUUUAAUGGCCGCAGUAUUUUGACUGUGCAAAGGUAGCAUAAUCAUUAGUUUCUUAAUUAGGAACUGGUAUGAAUGGUUGGAUGAGAAAAAAUCUGUCUUUAUUUAAUUUUAUAUGAAUUUUAUUUUUGAGUUAAAAAGCUCAAAUUUUUUUUAAAGACGAGAAGACCCUAUAGAGUUUAAUAUUUUUAUAAUUAUUAUUUUUAGGUAUUUAAAUUUAGUAUAUUUGAUAAAAUAUUUUGUUGGGGUGACCGAAAAAUUUAAAUAACUUUUUUUUAUUUUAACAUUAAUUUAUGAUUUUUUGAUCCAGUAUUUUUGAUUAUAAGAUUAAAUUACCUUAGGGAUAACAGCGUAAUUUUUUUGGAGAGUUCUAAUCGAUAAUAAAGUUUGCGACCUCGAUGUUGGAUUAAAAUUUAUAGUUGGUGUAGAAGCUAACUAAUUAGGUCUGUUCGACCUUUAAAAUUUUACAUGAUCUGAGUUUAAACCGGUGUGAGCCAGGUUGGUUUCUAUCUUAAAUUAGUUUUAAUAUUUUAGUACGAAAGGACCAAUUAUUAAUAAUAUUUAUUUUUAUUAAGAAUAAAAGG
rnacentral:rRNA from 1 species